rnacentral:rRNA from 1 species
UGAGGAAUAUUGGGCAAUGCCCGCAAGGGUGACCCAGCAACGCCGCGUGGAGGAUGAAUGUCGUAAGAUUGUAAACUCCUGUUAGAGGGGAAGAAUAGUACCGGUUGGACCGGUAUAUGACUGUACCCUCAGAGAAAGCCCCGGCUAACUACGUGCCAGCAGCCGCGGUAAUACGUAGGGGGCAAGCGUUGUCCGGAUUUACUGGGUGUAAAGGGCGCGCAGGCGGGAUAAAAAGUCAGUGGUGAAAUCCUACAGCUUAACUGUAGAAAGGCCUUUGAUACUUUUAUUCUUGACUUCGGGAGAGAGAGACGGAAUUCCAGGUGUAGUGGUGAAAUACGUAGAUAUCUGGAAGAACACCAGGUGCGAAGGCGGUCUCUUGGUCCGACACUGACGCUGAGGCGCGAAAGCGUGGGGAGCAAACA